GUAAAAAAACAACUGGAUAUUUCAAUAUGUCAUCGACACUUCUUGCCGUGACACUUUUAAAAAUCCUCUCGAUAAAUUGUGAAUUCAUUUUUUAUCUAUAAUCACAAUUAAUUGGACACAGAAGAUUCUCGUGUACACCUUAGAUAAAUAUAUAUCUACCUAUUAAAAAAACAGGUUCCGGGAAUCGAUUAAGCAAGGCUUAAUAGAGUCUGCCCCGCAUUUCAAUGAUACAAACACAUUCCUAAGAACGAUGUGAUUAUAUCUAUAUAAAGACAAAGUUUGUUGUGAGAGAGUAAUAAUUUAUACAUUAAAUUACAACAGCAGACGCAAUCUUUCUACGAAAAUUAUUCAUGAGGAUUUAAUAAAAUUUCUUACUCACAACACACAA